rnacentral:rRNA from 1 species
GUGGGGAAUUUUGGACAAUGGGCGCAAGCCUGAUCCAGCAAUGCCGCGUGCAGGAAGAAGGCCUUCGGGUUGUAAACUGCUUUUGUACGGAACGAAACGGUCCGGGUUAAUACCCUGGGCUAAUGACGGUACCGUAAGAAUAAGCACCGGCUAACUACGUGCCAGCAGCCGCGGUAAUACGUAGGGUGCAAGCGUUAAUCGGAAUUACUGGGCGUAAAGCGUGCGCAGGCGGUUUUGUAAGACAGGCGUGAAAUCCCCGGGCUCAACCUGGGAAUUGCGCUUGUGACUGGAAGGCUGGAGUGCGGCAGAGGGGGAUGGAAUUCCGCGUGUAGCAGUGAAAUGCGUAGAUAUGCGGAGGAACACCGAUGGCGAAGGCAAUCCCCUGGGCCUGCACUGACGCUCAUGCACGAAAGCGUGGGGAGCAAACAGGAUUAGAAACCCUGGUAGUCC